GGUGCGGGGGGGGGGGAACCAGGCGCGGCAGCUCAGCGCAGCGCGGACGCGCAUCGCCCGCCGAUAUCCCGCAGCCGGCGGAGAACGAGCCCUGCCGGGUAAUGACUCCCCCCCGACGUUAUCCCGCAGCCGGGUGGAGGUAGAGGUUGAGCCCUCCCGGGGAGGGCCCCGGCACCCCGCCACGAGCUCCGGGGACACGAGCCAUCCCGGCGCAGAAAAUGCUCUGGGAAAGUCUUUUCCCGUGCGGAGGUGGAGCUGCGGGGGGACGGGCUCGCCCUGUCCACGCGUUUUGCCGACAGAUGAGUUUCCUAACUGAACGUCCCAAGGCUCCAGCAGAGCCACCUACUCCGGGACAAGCUCCCCGUCCAGCGCCAGGCGCUUUGUCGCACCCCCCGCCCCGCGCUCCUCGGCCCACGCGCGGCCAUGCCCGGCUAUUAAUAACCAGCAGCCUGCGGAGGAGCAGGGACGUACCGUGAGAGGGCUGAGGGCUGAACCUCUCCCUCCCUUUCACCCAGGAUGCUGCGCUCCAGCGUGAGCAGGAUGUGGAUUUAGCUGAUCCAGAACAACACAUCCUCCCUGGCUGGGAGGGGAGUAGUCGCCAGCGUAAACACCGUCGCUGCACAGCCUGACCUCAGCACCUCCCUGCCUCUGGGCUCCUGUGACAGACAAAAUAAAACCUGAUGAAAAAACACAGUACUUGCCUACUGUAAAGGAAAAUGGAGGCUAUUUCUUAAAAUUUGUGUGCCCCAGUGCCUUAGUUUCACAGAGGAACCGCUUAUUCCUGUCAACACGGGGCUUUUGCAUUGUAAGUUUCAAGCAGAAGCAGCACUGGGAAGCCCUCCAGGCUUUAGCCAUCUUCAGCCAGAGAUCCUCAAACUGUACCAGAUUAUUAGGAUCACAGUACAGAAGUCACUCAGUGGUGCCUGUAUUCCCACCUUCUAAUCCCAAGAUUUAAAGUCUUCGGUACACUUUUAAAUUCUUUCAGUACCCUUGAGGACCUGAUCUAGUGGGUGGCAUCCCUGCCCAUGAUGGGGAGUUUGAACUAGGUUAUCUUUAAGGACCCUUCCUGGGGGGUUGGAAAUAGGUGAUCUUUAAGGUCCCUUCCAAACCAACCCUUCCAGCCUGAGGCCAGCACCUCUCUAGUUCCUCUCCAGCAUUCACGGGUCCUCUCCUCAGCUCCUGAUGCCUUCAUCCUCACAGCAUCCCUGUCCAGCUGCUGGUCAAGAGCAUGGGGUGCUCUUAGAUAUUCUGAGUGCAAUAUCAUCAUGUUAUUAAGGCUGAAAAUCACUGGAUUUUCCAGAGAAUGUGUCUCCCCGUUGUGGGACUGCCAAUCUGUCCCAUACUGCUGAGUCACCAGGAUGCUUUCCUUGGAAAGAAGGAAUUGGCAGUUUCCAGACUGACUUCUGUGACGCUGCUCGAUAUUUGUUAUUUCCGUUAUGUUGAGCACGGCACAGAAAGAAUGGUCUGACAAAUAAACAGUCUGCAGGAAUGUUCCCUGAAACAAUGUGAUGCUAAAGACUGUUUUCCAAGAAAGAGGGCUCAAUUUCCCCCUAUUCAUCCUGCCAGCCAGAUCCAUGUGAAGUUUUCUCCUUAUCUGCGAGGCUGAUGUUCCCCUUCACAAGGUUGCCUGGCACAAGGCCUGGGGAUGCAGAUGUUGUAGACUGAGUCAGAAUGCAGGGGAGGCCACUUUGGAUGCCAGCAACUCUGCCCUUUGCUCUUCCCAUCCCUCUGGGAGUUAUGCCUGGGAUGCUCAUGCUUUCCCUGUCUCCCCAUCUCACCCAAAGUGUCCCUCCCUGAGCAUAUUUUAGUUAAUUUCUCAUGCAACUGCUCAGGAUUGAAAAAGCCUUUCUAAGUUUCAUCCUUCAUCUAGGUUGCUGAGCUCCAGAGGAGGUAGGAUGGAGCCAGGGAUAUUUCUUUGUGAAAGAAUGACAUGUUGGUGGCAUUUAAGCCAGAACAGAAGUAAAUUAAACAUCCAGAUCAUAAAAGCACCAGAGGAUGUUUUAAAACAGGCUCUUUGCAGCAGUGCAUUAGUUGACUGUACAGCCUUACUGUGUAAUGAGUAAUAUAUUAAUUUAUAAUUAGCAUAAUACAGUGAAGCUUGGAAAAUAGCUCUGUGCACUCUGGAUAAUUCAUCAACAGAAGAAGCAGUUCUUAAUGGUUUCCAAGGUUUGCAUGUUCCCUGUAAUUGGGAAGUUCAGAAUUUAUUGUUAUUUCUUUGAAGGGAUAAUUUGAUUGCGACCACACAUCUUUAUUCCCUGUCUGUUCCUGCUGGAGUGCAGAGAAGCCUUUAGAGCGUUUCUGCUCUGGGUGUGUGACCUCUCUGCAGGGAUCUUCAUUCUCAAUUCUGCUCUCAAAGUCUUCAGGAGCCUCCUGGUCUCAUUUGAUAUUGCCUGACAGUAGAAAUACAGAAGAAGAAGAAUAAAUGUAUGACAAUAACACUCACUGGAAUUUAUGGAGGCUUUGGGGAACUUACUUUUCAAUUUGGAAGCUCAGACCCACAUUCCAGAGGAUGCAGGGAGCAGGACUUCUCCCUGCUUUUGUAGCAGUGCCCAGGCUUCCCAGAGAUCCUCUCCCUGGACUGCCAUUUUGACAGGUUGAGGAUCUGCACUGAAACUCCCUGUUGUCAGCAAAAUCUUCUGAAAAGGGAACAAAAUCCUCAGGGGUGGGUACUCAGUGCUGAGACAGCCUGGAGGCACUGGGGCCUGCUCAGAGGAAGGGGAUAAAUAAACUUGAAUCUUAAUUCAGUGGUCCACUGAAAACAGGGUGUGAUAAAUCUUCCCCAGGAAUAAAAUAUCAGGAGUUCUGCUUUUCCCAGCUUUAAUAAAAUAAUUCGUACCCUUCUGCCUAUUAGCAGCUGCAGAUAAGUUGAUUGCACUGAGCAUUUGAAGUCUUCUGACAUGCCCAUCUGCCUUUGCGUAACCAUUUGCCCCUAACCCUUGUCUUGUA